CCUACGGGCGGCUGCAGUGGGGAAUAUUGGACAAUGGGGGCAACCCUGAUCCAGCAAUUCUGUGUGCACGAAGAAGGUUUUCGGAUUGUAAAGUGCUUUCAGCAGGGAAGAAGAGAGUGACGGUACCUGCAGAAGAAGCGACGGCUAAAUACGUGCCAGCAGCCGCGGUAAUACGUAUGUCGCGAGCGUUAUCCGGAAUUAUUGGGCAUAAAGGGCAUCUAGGCGGCCAGGCAAGUCUGGGGUGAAAACUUGCGGCUCAACCGCAAGCCUGCCCUGGAAACUGCCUGGCUAGAGUGCUGGAGAGGUGGACGGAACUGCACGAGUAGAGGUGAAAUUCGUAGAUAUGUGCAGGAAUGCCGAUGAUGAAGAUAGUUCACUGGACGGCAACUGACGCUGAAGUGCGAAAGUUGGGGGAGCGAACAGGAUUAGAUACCCCGGUAGUC
rnacentral:rRNA from 1 species